UACAGAAAGUGCGAGCGUUAAUCGGAAUUACUGGGCGUAAAGCGCGCGUAAACGGCUUUGCAAGUCGGGUGUGAAAUCCCCAGGCUUAACCUGGGAACUGCAUUCGAGACUGCAUUGCUAGAGUAUGGGAGAGGGAAGUGGAAUUUCCGGUGUAGCGGUGAAAUGCGUAGAUAUCGGAAGGAACAUCAGUGGCGAAAGCGACUUCCUGGACCAAUACUGACGCUCAUGUGCGAAAGCGUGGGGAGCAAACAGG
rnacentral:rRNA from 1 species